rnacentral:rRNA from 1 species
AGCGAACGCUGGCGGCAGGCCUAACACAUGCAAGUCGAACGGAGCCUUCGGGCUUAGUGGCGGACGGGUGAGUAACACGUGGGAACGUACCUUUUGGUUCGGAACAACUCAGGGAAACUUGAGCUAAUACCGGAUGAGCCCUUAGGGGGAAAGAUUUAUCGCCGAAAGAGCGGCCCGCGUUAGAUUAGCUAGUUGGCGAGGUAAAGGCUCACCAAGGCAACGAUCUAUAGCUGGUCUGAGAGGAUGAUCAGCCACACUGGGACUGAGACACGGCCCAGACUCCUACGGGAGGCAGCGGUGGGGAAUCUUGCGCAAUGGGCGAAAGCCUAACGCAGCCAUGCCGCGUGAAUGAUGAAGGUCUUAGGAUUGUAAAAUUCUUUUACCAGGGACGAUAAUGACGGUACCUGGAGAAAAAGCCCCGGCUAACUUCGUGCCAGCAGCCGCCGUAAUAC